ACAUCAAGACCCUGAGGCCAUCUUACCACCCUUCUGGAUCAGAAGAGGCCUUCAGAGUAAGUGGUAACUGUCCUGAUUGGGGCGAGGGAGUUUUCUAGAGGGGAGCAUCUCAUUACUAAACCCAGAAAUACAGAGACACUUGCAUGAACACAUCAACAGGAAGCAGAGAAACAGGCAUAAAAUGGCCCAAUGACCCCCACUCUCGGGUCUUUGCAGGAAUCCCCUCUCACCUACUUCUCACCUACUCACUUUGGGUUUGAGGAACCCAGGCUCUUAUAGGCUCUUAUAGCUCCCUUUAACCCAUCACAGUCAGUUAUCUCAUCUCCAGAUUUGCAAGUUCCUUCGGUUGGUGUCUUUUACCUAAGUCAGCAUAUUUCAAACUUUCAUAAAAAAAACUUAGAAAAUAAAAACCACGACCCCACCCA
rnacentral:lncRNA from 1 species